ensembl:lncRNA
AGUCCUUCCUACAGCUCUGAAACAGAGGUAGGAAGAUUCAGGCUAAAUAUAGACCAGGAGCAGUCGCCCUGCAUUUAACCUCAUUAUGUUAAUCUACUAGACAAUUUAAAACAGCCAGUUACUAUCUACAAGGCAGGUGUUGAAUUCUUUGCACAGAACUUCUAUUUAGUUUUAUGGCAUGGCUGAGGGAGGCAGGAAGACAGAAAGGAAAGUUACUUUUACCUGAGAUUUUGGAGUUUAGCACUGUCUCCUGGGACAGAGGAAUAGAAGGCAAGGAGCACCAGUUCUGGUAUGGUCCUAUCCUAGGCAAGCACUUCAAAUAAUACUUCUGUAAGCAUGUCUAGAUCCCUUUAAAACGAUUUUGAGUUCUGUAUGGAAAAAAAAACCUUACAGAAUUCUCUCCUUUGAGAGCUAUAAAUUGUCUUCCAAGCUGAAUUUAUCCUUGGCUGGAGUAAAGCCAUUUGUUCCUCAGCCAGACUUGUUCACCAGCUUUAUCGGCUCAGUGGUUCCCGAGGCAUGGUCACCUCCUGUGGAAAGCAGCUGAGAGAAGGAAGGAAUUUCUUUUAAAGGUGUUACUGAAGGGCUUGAUUGAUUGCACUGGGAUUACAUAAAUGCUGUACUCCUCCACGAGGCAUGAAAACUCUUCAGGAGUGCCCCACAUCCCAACAGCUAAAAGCUGGUUCCACAGACAAAAAUGCAAAGACUAAGGCAGUUGUUCCUGUAUACUCUGCAAGCGUUGAACCAUCUAUCUCAGCUUAAUGAUUUGGAGCUUGACAUGUCUGAACAUCCUUAUCCUUUGGAAACUGUUCAGGUCUCUUUUCAUCAGCCUGCUCCUUUAUAAAAACUGUUUCAGUAGAUGAAAACCUCAAGUGCUGUGUGACAAGGGGCGUCAUCUAUCUGACAUAGGACAGCUCAAAUUUUAAAUGCUUAGCCCAUAUCUAAUAAGCAUUAAUGAAAUAGCACAAGUCCUAAUCUGUUCUUCAGAUAAUCACACAUUCCUUCAAUACCCAGCACUGAAUUGAAUCCAUUCAUUAGCAGCCAUACCAAAGCAUAAUAUAGACUGUGUGGGGACAAAAUGAGUUCCACUGUAAGAACUUCAGCAACAGUUGCGGUGCAGGGAGAGGUUGGCACAUGGUAUUUAGGUAGGACACAAAUGCCUCUGGGUUGGUUUGUGGUUUUGUUUGCUUCUCUGUUUUUUUUUUUGUUUGUCACAUGAAAGCCUUUGUGAGGAAGAACUGUCAGAAUCCCCUCAAUUGAAGAUGGUUCUAUUUUUAACUGUUGAAGUUCCAUUUUAGACUGCUGCUAUUUUGACUAACUGCUACUUAGCACUGACGCAGUCAGUCCUGAGGUCAUGCUACAGAUCAAAGAUGGUAUUGCAAAUUGGAGGAACUAGAUAACAAGAUGGGUAGAAACCAUGGGAGGAUCAUGUCUUCACACAUCUCUAAUUAUGGAUGUCACAAAUAUAAACCUAAUGUUAUGUUCUCUCAGGAUGGAACCACAAACUUUAUCCAGUUCUGAAUUCCUUCAUUAAGAAUACCUAUUCAAGAGACCAAUCUCACUUUGCAGACAACAUUUAUUAUUUUUUUGGUGACAUUAGUGGACUUAGUGUGGCAGCUGUAACCGCUGGGUACGUGGAAAAAUCAAUCAAUUGGCCAUAAUCUACUGAAGCAUUCAUACCAUGCAUUACCAAUGCAGUAACACGGAUAUUCAUCAACCCCAGUGUAUUGUUUUGUCCUAGAGAUGGAGUCUGCUUACUUAGUGAAAUAAGGGAACUCAAGGAGUCAAUACUGCAAUGAUACGGCUAAUAAUUCUCAGUGAGCUUGGCACAAAGCACACCAAUAUUUACAUCUCUAGACUAAUGUAAUUAAUUAGCUUCAGGUUCUCUCUUAACAAUCUCCCAUCUCUGGCAGCUGUUGAAAACACCUCGUCCUUCUAGGCACCUGGAAGACUUAUACCAUGUGAAGAUUUUAGCUGUCUCUACAGUCACCAGCCUUAGAUAAAAGAUUUACAAUGACCUCUCAAUACACUGUAACUGAUAUUAGAAUAGUUUCACAAAAUAUAUUGACUUAUUUAAAAAUAUGACUAAUAUGUAACUAAAGACAUUGUCCUC